UGAUUCAAGUGGUGAGCAAGAGCUUUUUAAAGGGUUUCAUUCAAGUAUUUGUAACAUGGUAGAGCGCAUGUUUGGUGCUUGAGUGGAAAAUCCUUAUCAAGAUGUCUGAGUUACCCAAUAAAAAGCACAUGAUGAUUGUUGCAGCUACCAUGUGUGUCGAUUACUACAUUCAUGAGAAUAUAUGCAUUAGAUAAAGAUAUUCGCAAGUGAGAUCAUCUAUGUGCC
rnacentral:lncRNA from 1 species